UGGGGAAUCUUGCGCAAUGGGCGAAAGCCUGACGCAGCGACGCCGCGUGCGGGAAGAAGGCCUUCGGGUUGUAAACCGCUUUCAGGAGGGACGAAGCCACUCGGGUUAAUAGCCCAGAGGGUGACGGUACCUCCAGAAGAAGCCCCGGCUAACUACGUGCCAGCAGCCGCGGUAAUACGUAGGGGGCAAGCGUUGUCCGGAUUCAUUGGGCGUAAAGCGCGUGUAGGCGGCCAGGUAGGUCCGGUGUGAAAACUCGAGGCUCAACCUCGAGAGGUCAGCGGAAACCAUCUGGCUAGAGUACGGAAGAGGAGAGUGGAAUUCCCGGUGUAGCGGUGAAAUGCGCAGAUAUCGGGAAGAACACCCAUGGCGAAGGCAGCUCUCUGGGACGGUACUGACGCUGAGACGCGAAAGCGUGGGGAGCGAACAGG
rnacentral:rRNA from 1 species